CUUCUUGUCUAGACCGGUGCUGUAUCUGCCCUGACCGCUGCUCAUAUCCCGACUCCCUGAUUUGUCCGACGUAGUGGACGCCUGUGGCGUCCGGUCAGGCAUUGCAUCUGUUUCUACAAUGGCUGGNNNNNNNNNGGUGCCUUACAUACAGCGAAGAGGCCGUGCGAGGGCUGUCUACGCCCGAACAAGCCCGCAUGCAGUUGUGCGGGCAUUUUCAGAUAUAACCCGACAUAUAUCG
rnacentral:misc_RNA from 1 species